rnacentral:rRNA from 1 species
UACGUAGGUGACAAGCGUUGUCCGGAUUUACUGGGCGUAAAGAGCGCGCAGGCGGUCGAUCAAGUCGAGUGUGAAAGCCCCCGGCUCAACUGGGGAGGGUCAUUCGAUACUGAUCGACUCGAAGGCAGGAGAGGGUAGUGGAAUUCCCGGUGUAGCGGUGAAAUGCGCAGAUAUCGGGAGGAACACCAAUGGCGAGGGCAGCUCGCUGGGACGUGACUGACGCUGAGACGCGAAAGCGUGGGGAGCAAACAGG